UGUUUUCCUGAUAUUGACACAUGUACUUCUGAAAGUCAGCUUAUUUUUGCAAUUUUAAAUAAAUUAAAUAGCAGUUUGAUUAAUAAAAAAAAAUGAAUUUGAAUGACAAUUUAAGAAAGAGGAAAAAUAAAUCCCGUAUUUACAAACUUAAAAAAAUAUAAACAAAUAUAAAUAUAAAAAAUAUAAAUUCGUCAAAGCAUUAUAAUGAUAUUGGAAUAUACAAUAUAACAAGCGAUUUAAGGAAGAGUUGGCCAGUUCGAUUCGCAAUGAGGAGCCGAGGUCCUCACGAUUUUCAUCAUUCUCAUAAUCGGAAUGCCUGGAACUUAGAUGGCCAAUGUAACCCUUCCUUGAUUUGAAGAAUGUAUUACAACUAUUGCAUUUGAAGAUGGGUGCUGCUGGUUGUGUCACUUGAGUUGGAACAUGUAGUUUGUAUUUAUGUCGGUACCAUCUUUGUCUAUUAGAAAUUACCUCGCCACACCAUUUGCAGACUACCGAUCCAUCGUUUUGAGGGAGGUAUUCCAGCAGCUUGUAAAAUAAUUUUAUUCGAUUUUUUUUCCUUUGUCCUCUCUCUUUUUUUUUUUAAAUGUAAAUAUUUUUUGUUCCCUAA